GCCAGUGUAAUGUACUGGUUUGAGUGUUGGAUUAGGACUCUGGGAGACCUGAGUUCAAAUCCCAGCUUUGGCA